rnacentral:rRNA from 1 species
CCUACGGGGGACAGCAGUAGGGAAUAUUGCUCAAUGGGGGAAACCCUGAAGCAGCAACGCCGCGUGGAGGAUGAAGGUUUUCGGAUCGUAAACUCCUUUUGUUAGAGAAGAUAAUGACGGUAUCUAACGAAUAAGCACCGGCUAACUCCGUGCCAGCCGCCGCGGUCAUACGGAGGGUGCAAGCGUUACUCGGAAUCACUGGGCGUAAAGAGCGCGUAGGCGGGAUAGCAAGUCAGAUGUGAAAUCCUAUGGCUUAACCAUAGAACUGCAUUUGAAACUGUUAUUCUAGAGUAUGGGAGAGGUAGGUGGAAUGCUUGGUGUAGGGGUAAAAUCCGUAGAGAUCAAGAGGAAUACUCAUUGCGAAGGCGACCUGCUAGAACAUAACUGACGCUGAUGCGCGAAAGCGUGGGGAGCAAACAGGAUUAGAUACCCCAGUAGUC